GACGAACGCUGGCGGCGUGCUUAACACAUGCAAGUCGAACGGAAAGGCCCUGCUUUUGUGGGGUGCUCGAGUGGCGAACGGGUGAGUAACACGUAAGUAACCUGAACUUGACGUUGGGAUAACUUCAGGAAACUGGGGCUAAUACGGGAUAGGUGCUCCUGCUGCAUGGUGGGGGAUGGAAAGUUUCGGCGGUUGGGGAUGGACUCGCGGCUUAUCAGCUUGUUGGUGGGGUAGUGGCUUACCAAGGCUUUGACGGGUAGCCGGCCUGAGAGGGUGACCGGCCACAUUGGGACUGAGAUACGGCCCAGACUCCUACGGGAGGCAGCAGUGGGGAAUAGUGCACAAUGGGCGGAAGCCUGAUGCAGCAACGCCGAGUGCGGGAUGACGGCCUUCGGGUUGUAAACCGCUUUCGCCUGUGACGAAGCGUAAGUGACGGUAAUGGGUAAAGAAGCACCGGCUAACUACGUG
rnacentral:rRNA from 1 species